UGAAGAUUAUGGUAAACAUUAAAACAAAAAGUUUUGAACAUUUUUAGCACCCAAAAUAUACGUCAUGUCCGCCGAUGUGCGACAGGCAUUCCUGGCGAACCCCACAUGUCUGGCAGACCGCAUUUUUUAGCUCACUGAUUUAUUGACUUUUUGAUCCUUGCCUGGAAGAUACAUCAUGAAUAAAUCCGAGAAAAGGAAACAUUCUGAAGAUGGCAGAACAUUUAAUGCUACGUGGACAGAUCAUUUUGCUUUCACCGCUGAUGAAACUGGUUCACCUUCUGCUUAAUAUGUGGCGACAGACUGGCAAACAACAAGAAGUCAAAUGUUGAAAGACAUUUCGAGAACAAACACUCUGUCUUUGCUAAAAAAUAUCCCGAGGGAGAGGAGAGAAAAAAGGCCGUUUCUGAGCUGAUGCGUUUGGCUGAAGCGAGCAGGAGUCACUUCAAGAAGUGGAUUAAGACUCAAACUCCACUACAUGUGCCAGUUUCGUGGCUACUCAGGAAAUAAUUAAGCAUGGAGGACAGGUGACCACACACACGUGAUGGACACAGAAGCAGACUCAUUUUUUGGUUUGCUUGGUUCGUUCAGUGCUGGUGGAUAAUAUUUGGAUAAGUUUUGAUUUUUAUCUCCUGAAUAAGAGGAGGACAGGUGACUGCAUUCUGUUUCUAUUUCUCCUUCAGUGCGGGUUGGGUAAGUUAAGAUUUUUAUUUCUUAAAUACAAAGACCCAAAUAGACAGAGGGUGUUUUGUUUGAAAUUGAGCAUCAACAAAGUGUAAAAUGCGUUUUGUUACAUGCAGAAAUAAAAUUUUGUGUUCUCUGCA